rnacentral:misc_RNA from 1 species
GCCUCGCCGCGCCGUCCGACGUGAUCGACCUCGCCAGGAUUCCGGCACUGAUCGGCAUCGAUUUCGGCAGCGACAGCGUCACCAUCAAGGCGGCGACGACGCAUUACGACGUCGCCACCAAUACGGCCUUGCAGAAGGCGCUUCCCGCGCUGGCGGCGCUGGCCGGCGUGAUCGGCGAUCCGGCCGUGCGCUAUCGCGGCA